rnacentral:rRNA from 1 species
UAGGACGAACGCUGGCGGCGUGCUUAACACAUGCAAGUCGAACGGAAAGGCCCUGCUUUUGUGGGGUGCUCGAGUGGCGAACGGGUGAGUAACACGUGAGUAACCUGCCCUUGACUUUGGGAUAACUUCAGGAAACUGGGGCUAAUACCGGAUAGGAGCUCCUGCUGCAUGGUGGGGGUUGGAAAGUUUCGGCGGUUGGGGAUGGACUCGCGGCUUAUCAGCUUGUUGGUGGGGUAGUGGCUUACCAAGGCUUUGACGGGUAGCCGGCCUGAGAGGGUGACCGGCCACAUUGGGACUGAGAUACGGCCCAGACUCCUACGGGAGGCAGCAGUGGGGAAUAUUGCACAAUGGGCGGAAGCCUGAUGCAGCAACGCCGCGUGCGGGAUGACGGCCUUCGGGUUGUAAACCGCUUUCGCCUGUGACGAAGCGUGAGUGACGGUAAUGGGUAAAGAAGCACCGGCUAACUACGUGCCAGCAGCCGCGGUGAUACGUAGGGUGCGAGCGUUGUCCGGAUUUAUUGGGCGUAAAGGGCUCGUAGGUGGUUGAUCGCGUCGGAAGUGUAAUCUUGGGGCUUAACCCUGAGCGUGCUUUCGAUACGGGUUGACUUGAGGAAGGUAGGGGAGAAUGGAAUUCCUGGUGGAGCGGUGGAAUGCGCAGAUAUCAGGAGGAACACCAGUGGCGAAGGCGGUUCUCUGGGCCUUUCCUGACGCUGAGGAGCGAAAGCGUGGGGAGCGAACAGGCUUAGAUACCCUGGUAGUCCACGCUGUAAACGGUGGGUACUAGGUGUGGGGUCCAUUCCACGGGUUCCGUGCCGUAGCUAACGCUUUAAGUACCCCGCCUGGGGAGUACGGCCGCAGGGCUAAAACUCAAAGGAAUUGACGGGGCCCCGCACAAGCGGCGGAGCAUGCGGAUUAAUUCGAUGCAACGCGUAGAACCUUACCUGGGUUUGACAUGGAUCGGGAGUGCUCAGAGAUGGGUGUGCCUCUUUUGGGGUCGGUUCACAGGUGGUGCAUGGCUGUCGUCAGCUCGUGUCGUGAGAUGUUGGGUUAAGUCCCGCAACGAGCGCAACCCUUGUUCACUGUUGCCAGCACGUUAUGGUGGGGACUCAGUGGAGACCGCCGGGGUCAACUCGGAGGAAGGUGGGGAUGACGUCAAGUCAUCAUGCCCCUUAUGUCCAGGGCUUCACGCAUGCUACAAUGGCUGGUACAGAGAGUGGCGAGCCUGUGAGGGUGAGCGAAUCUCGGAAAGCCGGUCUCAGUUCGGAUUGGGGUCUGCAACUCGACCUCAUGAAGUCGGAGUCGCUAGUAAUCGCAGAUCAGCAACGCUGCGGUGAAUACGUUCCCGGGGCUUGUACACACCGCCCGUCAAGUCAUGAAAGUUGGUAACACCCGAAGCCGGUGGCCUAACCGUCGUGGGGGAGCCGUCGGAGGUG